GUCAGGAUGGCCGAGCGGUCUAAGGCGCCGUGUACUCAAGAUGGAGGCGUGGGUUCAAAUCCCACUUCUGACA